rnacentral:rRNA from 1 species
AGCAUAUCAAUAAGCGGAGGAAAAGAAACCAACAGGGAUUGCCUUAGUAACGGCGAGUGAAGCGGCAACAGCUCAAAUUUGAAAUCUGGCUCUUUCAGAGUCCGAGUUGUAAUUUGCAGAGGGCGCUUUGGCGUUGGCAGCGGUCCAAGUUCUUUGGAACAGGACGUCACAGAGGGUGAGAAUCCCGUACGUGGUCGCUAGCCUUCGCCGUGUAAAGCCCCUUCGACGAGUCGAGUUGUUUGGGAAUGCAGCUCUAAAUGGGAGGUAAAUUUCUUCUAAAGCUAAAUACUGGCCAGAGACCGAUAGCGCACAAGUAGAGUGAUCGAAAGAUGAAAAGCACUUUGGAAAGAGAGUCAAAUAGCACGUGAAAUUGUUGAAAGGGAAGCGCUUGCAGCCAGACUUGCCUGUAGUUGCUUAUCCGGACUUUUGUCCGGUGCACUCUUCUGCGGGCAGGCCAGCAUCAGUUUAGGCGGUUGGAUAAAGGUCUCUGUCAUGUACCUCUCUUCGGGGAGGCCUUAUAGGGGAGACGACAUGCAACCAGCCUGGACUGAGGUCCGCGCAUCUGCUAGGAUGCUGGCGUAAUGGCUGUAAGCGGCCCGU